UACGUAGGGUGCAAGCGUGUCCGGAAUUAUUGGGCGUAAAGAGCUCGUAGGCGGUUUGUCGCGUCUGCUGUGAAAACGCGAGGCUCAACCUCGCGCCUGCAGUGGGUACGGGCAGACUAGAGUGCGGUAGGGGAGAUUGGAAUUCCUGGUGUAGCGGUGGAAUGCGCAGAUAUCAGGAGGAACACCGAUGGCGAAGGCAGAUCUCUGGGCCGUAACUGACGCUGAGGAGCGAAAGCGUGGGGAGCGAACAGG
rnacentral:rRNA from 1 species